GUUGGGUUAAGUCCCGCAACGAGCGCAACCCUUAUCUUUAGUUGCCAUCAUUAGGUUGGGCACUCUAGAGAGACUGCCGGUGACAAACCGGAGGAAGGUGGGGAUGACGUCAAAUCAUCAUGCCCCUUAUGAUUUGGGCUACACACGUGCUACAAUGGAUGGUACAAAGGGCAGCAAAACCGCGAGGUCAAGCAAAUCCCAUAAAACCAUUCUCAGUUCGGAUUGUAAUCUGCAACUCGACUACAUGAAGCUGGAAUCGCUAGUAAUCGUAGAUCAGCAUGCUACGGUGAAUACGUUCCCGGGUCU
rnacentral:rRNA from 1 species